rnacentral:rRNA from 1 species
UACGGGGGGGGUAAGCGUUGUUCGGAAUUACUGGGCGUAAAGGGCGCGUAGGCGGCCUGUUAAGUCGAACGUGAAAUCCCCGGGCUCAACCCGGGAACUGCGUCCGAUACUGGCAGGCUUGAAUUCGGGAGAGGGAUGCGGAAUUCCAGGUGUAGCGGUGAAAUGCGUAGAUAUCUGGAGGAACACCGGUGGCGAAGGCGGCAUCCUGGACCGAGAUUGACGCUGAUGCGCGAAAGCCAGGGGAGCAAACGGG